rnacentral:rRNA from 1 species
UACGUAGGGGGCGAGCGUUGUCCGGAUUUAUUGGGCGUAAAGCGCGCGUAGGCGGUGCGGUAAGUCGGCCGUGAAAUCUCCCAGCUCAACUGGGAGGGGUCGGGCGAGACUGCCACACUCGAGGUGGGCAGAGGCCGGUGGAAUUCCGGGUGUAGUGGUGGAAUGCGUAGAGAUCCGGAGGAACACCAGUGGCGAAGGCGGCCGGCUGGGCCUGGCCUGACGCUGAGGCGCGAAAGCGUGGGGAGCGAUCCGG